AGGCAGUCCUAAGCAGCUUGCUUGAAUAUUCAUGAACGCGAGGCUUUGGACCUAGAGUACUACAUACUACCACCAGAGGGCAGCAAUGUACCACUCAGGCCCCACGGGCCCUGGAACUCCAUCCAUAGUGCUGCUUUAUCUUCCUGGCUGGAAACCCAGACUGGGACCCCAGUGAACAAGCUCCAAAGGCAGGAGACCAAAGAGUAUUGUAUUGGUGCACACCUGUAAUCACGGCACUCGGGGCCAACCUCGGCUGCAAAGUGAGCUUCAGGCCAUCCUGGACUACAUGAGAGCCUGUCUUAAAAAAUAAAAUAGGAGUAGCCAGAAGUCGUGUGCAGGCCUGGAAUACCUCAUGGUGGAGGUGAC
rnacentral:lncRNA from 1 species